rnacentral:lncRNA from 1 species
CUAUCACAUGAAUCAGAAAUGUAUACCACUGAGAACCACUGAGGUUUUUGUGUUUUUUUGGUUUUUUUUAAGUGAGAUGUGGUAAGAGCCUCUUUAUUUGUUUAUUAGCUCUUCAUUCUUUAAUCUUAAAAGCAAUCCUUUUAGAUCUUCUAACUCCCUUUUUUUUUUUUCUGGGCAAUUCUGAACCUAUUUCUUGCAUACAUGGAGAAGCUGCAUGUUUUAUGCAAUAGUUAAUUCUGAAACCACAUCAGACGGUAGGAAGAUGGGAAACAAGGACAGGAAGUAGGCUGUUAGCAGCUAUGUGUGCCAUUGUCAUCCCCAUCUUUAAUCCUCUGAUGGAAUAAGCUCAAUCAUCAUUUUUGUUUUCUUUUUAUGUGCCUCCCUCUCAUGCAUUUCUCCCAGUUCUGCGUAUCUACUGCCAGGUUGGUAAAUUAAAUAAACCCAAAGGAAAGUAAAGGUUUUUCUGAAAAUGUAUAAGGAAGAGCAAAUAUGCUGUACGAGAGAAAAGUUGUAAGAGUAGAAUCCUGUAUGGAUCUAGUCAGGUCCUAACAGUUCCGGGCCUAGUGGUUUGAAGUAAAGUAGUACACCACUCACGUGGUGGAAUUCAAGCUCAGUGCAAGUUCCGUCUUUCCUCACAUUUUCUCUUAACCACCAGGUGGCUCUCCAAACCAACCAGUUCAAUAAAUCCUACACGAGAUCUUUCCUGCAUGUAUUUCCAGUAUUUCCAGAUCAUGUUUUCAGUUUUCUGGAAGAGACCAAAUGAUCGUUCCCUAGAGUACUAAAUAUUCAGUUAUUGUUUCCUCAUUCAUUUCUCAACAACUGAAGGCUUAAUGAGGCUUUGCUCUGGAACGUAUUUCAUUGUGCAGCUGCAGCUCUGAUUUGAACCUCCAUGUGCCACUGUGCGGCCCUAAAAAGAAAAUUUAAAAAAAGAGAAGUUCUUAUGGUAUGUUAGAGAAAGUGGAUAAUACACUGUGAUACAAUUUUUCACUCACAGGGCUGACAAUUUACAUUUGCUUAUACAGUCUCUUGACUAAACUGUGGGGAAACAGCUACUCUUGUAUUGUGCAUAUGAGAAUGUAAAUUUCUCAUACUCAUUAAAUUUGUUAUAGCCUCCAUUUAAGUCAAUAAUGGGAUGUGUUUCUUAUUAGAAAUGCACAUAAUCUUUUAUCAAGCAUCUCCACUUUUGGAAAUUUACCCUAAACUCACACCUGUGAAACAAUAUAUAUUCAAGAUUAUUUGUUUAAGACAAAACUGACAUAUCCAUUAAUAGGCAGUGAUUUAAUUAAUUUAUGAUUAAAGAUGGGGAAAUGAUGUGUUUCUGAAGAUUGAGGGUGUAGAAUGCGGGAAGAAGAGGACAGAAGGAAAAGAUGGUGGCUGGAGAGCUAGAAGGAAUGAGAGAAAAGAAGCUAGGAAAAAGUAAAGGAAGAUAGAGGCAAAGGAGAGAGGACACAUCCACCCGUGGGUACAGAGCCACACUGAGGAUGAGAAAGGAACAUGCUUAAGGAAACAGAAAGAGGGAACCCAGACUUAUGGGGAAGCGGGGAACAGAUGAGGUAGAAAGAAACUAAACAUGCUAAGUAGCAAGCUAAGUAUCUCACCUUUGGCUGAGAGGUCCUGGAUAACAGAGGAUGACCUGUCUAACUGGGUGUUUUCUGCAGGUUUAGUGAAGUGCUUUGCAAAUAGUUGGCAUGCAACACAUGUGGUCUUGAAUGAGCUGUGAGUUCAAGAAUGCAUGAACAGCACUUCUGUGUCCACUGUAUUCUAAUUUAUGUUUGAUUUUAAGCUAAUAACAUUAAAAUUUAGCAACCGCACCAAUAGUAAAUCUAGUUGUCAACUUGAUAUGCAUUGUCAGGUUUCACAUAUGGUUAUGGUGAAAAAACUAAGGUGUGGAAAACUUAUAUAGGGUCCUAUAAUUAUGACUUUUUCUUUUUCUUUUGAUGCAUUGACCAUUUCUAGAAGGAAAACAGAGUAUCUAGCAAUACCAACAGAAGAAAUUUAGAGAUUGAAAAUCAAUUUAUUUUCCUUUUAAAAGCUUAAUGACUAUUUUUAGGGCAUAUAUGCAUAGCAUAUACCACUUAGUGAAUGAAAUAUACAAAAUAACCUGUGUGAACACAUGCAAACGUAUUAUCCAGAUACGUAUUCAAAAUGGCUACAUAGCAACUAGCCAGAAUGAGGCGUAGAUAUUUAAUGACACUUUAUGGGAUAUUACCUAAUCAAAACGUGAGUCCGAAUCAAUGAGUCUAUUCAGUUCCACUAAUUUAGGCUUCAGUGAAGUGAACGAGAAGUAGAACAAAUCCUAGGAUAUGGCGUUUUGAAUAUAUAAAUGGUAUCACACUGAGGAUAUGAUUUGAUGUGAUUGACACACAUUUGUCAAUAUAUGACUAUAGAGAAUUCUGAGAAAAUGUUAUUAUAUCAUCUCAAAAUGAAGUUGGAAAAUAUUGACAACUAAGACACUGGGGACACAAAUUGGUAACAGCUAAAGGAAUGACUGCUGGGCAGCCACAAACAUCGCUUCGGGUUGAGAGGAAAUUUGCAUCUUCAUAAUAAGUGCUACACGAAAAGCAGAGCCCCUUUCACAUGCCAUCUUAGCUAUUCAGCCUAUUCUUAUCUUCUAUCUGGAAUCCCGCCUAGUAAGAAUGGGAAAUUCUUCAUUCAGUUUGCCAAUUAUAUCUACCAUGUGCAGGCGACACAGAGCACUGGCGAACAUUCAGAAGCCUGAGGAUUGAAUUCAUUGGUGGAGCAUGGUCACCUUUGUUCAGCAAUCCAGGAAGCUUUGCUGGCUUUAAUAAUACAUGAGGAGGCAUGAAGGGAAGACGGGCCUCGGCUGCUUUUCAGAUUCUUGUGUUGACUGCAUGCAUGCUGCCAUGAACCACGGAAAGCCCCAUCUCCAGCCUCUGUUUGGAAGCCUAAGUGAGGAAACAAGGCUUGGAGAAAUUUGCAUUUAGAGGAGUGAUUUUUUUUUUUUUUUGCAAUAAAAAUUACUCAGGAAGGAAUAGUUACAUUAUGGCCAAGCAUUCAUGAGUUAUACAGAAACCCUUCUCUAACAGAAUAAAAUUAGAAAAUACAGUUAAAAAUGUAAUAACAUAGCUUUAACAAUUAGCUAAAAAAUGAAACUCUUGUGCUGGAGAAGGAACUCUAAGAACAAAACCAUGUUGCUUUAUAUUCUAUAAAUGUCCCAUGAGUAGUUCAAAAUAGUAUAUAUUUUAAAUGUGUACAUUUUAGCCUCUGUGUAUGAAUUUGCUGAAUAUACAGAUUAAGCCAAAAACAUCAUUUAUCAUUCUUUACUGCUAAGUCUUAUGUAUUUCUAGGGACAAAACAUCCAACAUCACCUAGAAAUCACUACAGGUUCAUACACAAACACACACAAGCGCACACACGCACGCACACCUCAGUAGGUUAAAGGUUUUCCAGUGACAAACAGUGCUCAAACAUUAAUACAUUUCAACACUGGACUCCUUGUCCAGUGCCCUGGAAGAAGGAUUGAAAACUCACAUGUUUUCAUGCCCUUUUUUAAAGGACUAAGCUAAGACAACAGAGGAUAUUCAGACCAAAGACUGGGUCCAGGCCCAAAGUAUUAAAAACAAACAAAAAAAAAAGGUACCACAUGACAUUGGCCAAACUGAACUUUUAACAGGUCAAUCAUGUCUACCACUUUGUUGUCACAGCUUGAGCAUAACUUCUGCUUUUUCCGAAUUCUUCAAGAAACACCUUGAAAGGAACAGAGUAUAAGAAUAGCAAAGGGAUGCAUCUGAGUCGUCCACCCACACACCCUCUGUAUAUCCCAGACUUAAAUGUGCCUUUUGGAAUUGAGGCACAAAUAAGCGUUAAGCCCUUUUCCCUCCCUCUCCUCUCCAAAACAGCAGUCAGGCCUUCUCUGCGAAGGCUGUCUUGGGCCUUGUCCUGCCUCCUUUCAUCUCCCAGCCUCCCCCUGCUCACAUCCUAGAAAGUUUACCUUUCUUUGCAUCCUCUACACCCUCCAGUCCCAUUUGCCUGUGGGCUUCACUGUCCCAGAAAUCAAGGGACAAGUGCAUAGAAUCCUAAUGAGAGAUGGUGGAUAAAGGUCGGGGCCCAGAAAAUAAAAGCCGUUGCGCUCAAUGGUGUUCACCAGGGAAAAGAGUAGGAAGAUGCUUUCAGUGAGCUUUAUAUCUACUAUGGUGACAAAUGGGAUUAUUUUCUACUAAAGCUUCUGAAAUACCGCCAU